rnacentral:rRNA from 1 species
AUGUCGCUGGAACGGAUGCGGUCAAUGGUGGAUAUGAUGGCACUAUUGCGUAGGCGGCCGACUUUGCCUGCGCAACAAGUCUACUGGGUGUCAGACAAUAGUCACAUUGGAGGUGACACAGUGGACUUUGGGUGGGCGGAGUGGGUUGGUGGUGACAUGCCAGUCCCGAAGCUAUCAAGCUUCCACACUAGAUGCAAGGAUGUACAUGGCGAGGAAUCAAUCAUUGUGUCAGUCUUAUUGCCAGGGUCGGUGAUGGAUAAGUUUACCAGUGAGAUCGCCUCCUGGUUGAACAAGGACAACGGAGGCAACUACUUUACACCUAGCUCCCUCUAG